AUUGAACGCUGGCGGCAUGCUUUACACAUGCAAGUCGAACGGUAACAGGCCUUCGGGUGCUGUCGAGUGGCGAACGGGUGAGUAAUGCAUCGGAACGUGCCCAGAGGUGGGGGAUAACGCAGCGAAAGCUGUGCUAAUACCGCAUGUGAUCUGAGGAUGAAAGCGGGGGACCAGGCAGCAAUGUUUGGCCUCGCGCCUUUGGAGCGGCCGAUGUCAGAUUAGGUAGUUGGUGGGGUAAAGGCCUACCAAGCCGACGAUCUGUAGCUGGUCUGAGAGGACGACCAGCCACACUGGGACUGAGACACGGCCCAGACUCCUACGGGAGGCAGCAGUGGGGAAUUUUGGACAAUGGGCGCAAGCCUGAUCCAGCAAUGCCGCGUGCGGGAAGAAGGCCUUCGGGUUGUAAACCGCUUUUGUACGGAACGAAAAGGCUCUGGCUAAUACCUGGGGCUGAUGACGGUACCGUAAGAAUAAGCACCGGCUAACUACGUG
rnacentral:rRNA from 1 species